rnacentral:rRNA from 1 species
ACACCGGCAGCUCAAGUGGUAGCCGCUUUUAUUGGGCCUAAAGCGUCCGUAGCCGGUCUGAUAAGUCUCUGGUGAAAUCCAGCAGCUUAACUGUGGGAAUUGCUGGAGAUACUAUCAAGACUCGAGGUCGGGAGAGGCUGGAGGUACUCCCAGGGUAGGGGUGCAAUACUGCAAUCCUGGGAGGACCACCUGUGGCGAAGGCGUCCAGCUGGAACGAACCUGACGGUGAGGGACGAAAGCCAGGGGCGCGAACCGGAUUAGAUACCCGGGUAGUCCUGGCCGUAAACGAUGUGGACUUGGUGUUGGGAUGGCUUCGAGCUGCCCCAGUGCCGAAGGGAAGCUGUUAAGUCCACCGCCUGGGAAGUACGGCCGCAAGGCUGAAACUUAAAGGAAUUGGCGGGG